rnacentral:rRNA from 1 species
UACGUAGGGGGCUAGCGUUGUCCGGAAUCAUUGGGCGUAAAGAGUUCGUAGGCGGUUUGUCGCGUCGUUCGUGAAAACUUGGGGCUUAACUCCAAGCGUGCGGGCGAUACGGGCAGACUUGAGUACUACAGGGGAGACUGGAAUUCCUGGUGUAGCGGUGAAAUGCGCAGAUAUCAGGAGGAACACCGGUGGCGAAGGCGGGUCUCUGGGUAGUAACUGACGCUGAGGAACGAAAGCGUGGGUAGCGAACAGG